CUAGUGAAAUGGAAUCGGUUUUUAGAGGCAGAAGCAACUUGGAAAAGAGAGGAUGAUUGGAGAGAAUCAUGUCCACAGCUGUUUGUUUAUGCAUUGCUCAAUCUCGAGGACUAUAUUCUUUUAAGAGGGGUAGAAUUUGUAACACCCAAAAAUUUGAUUUCAAUUAAUAUGAAUUAAUUUGAAUUAAUUAAGUAUUUUUGUGAGCAUUUAAUUUAGUGAAUGAAUAAUUUUUGUUGAAAAUAAAAUUUAUCAUAGGUUUAGUAACAUUGACUGUGCAUUCAUGCUGAAACAUAUUUUACUUUGUGUUGAUAUACUUUGGCUAGAAGUUAAUUGUAUUCAAAACUCCAUUUGGAAAAAGGCUUUAGAAAAUUGAAAAGAAAAUAGAAAAGAAAAAGAAAAGGAAAACCCCAGCCAACCCCCCUGGCUUUUCCUCUCUCGGCCUGCUUCCCCCUCACCUUGGCCCAGAGCGCGGCCCGUACUUUCCCCCACGCUCGGCCUUGAUCUCUCGCCUGGCCCAACAACCUGCGGCCCAGUUGAGUAGCUCGCCCGCGCCCCACUUCUCCCCUUCCCCACUCCUCGGCUGACGUCUGGGCCCCGCCCUUUCUUUCACUGGCACCCCGGGC
rnacentral:lncRNA from 1 species